CCUACGGGAGGCAGCAGUGGGGAAUAUUGGGCAAUGGGCGCAAGCCUGACCCAGCAACGCCGCGUGAAGGAAGAAGGCUUUCGGGUUGUAAACUUCUUUUAAGGGGGAAGAGCAGAAGACGGUACCCCUUGAAUAAGCAACGGCUAACUACGUGCCAGCAGCCGCGGUAAUACGUAGGUGGCAGGCGUUGUCCGGAUUUACUGGGUGUAAAGGGCGUGCAGCCGGAGAGACAAGUCAGUUGUGAAAUCCACGGGCUCAACCCGUGAACUGCAUUUGAAACUGUUUCCCUUGAGUGUCGGAGAGGUAAUCGGAAUGCCUUGUGUAGCGGUGAAAUGCGUAGAUAUAAGGAAGAACACCAGUGGCGAAGGCGGAUUACUGGACGAUAACUGACGGUGAGGCGCGAAAGCGUGGGGAGCAAACAGGAUUAGAUACCCUGGUAGUC
rnacentral:rRNA from 1 species